rnacentral:snRNA from 1 species
GCGCUAGCUUUGGCAGCACACAUAUUAAAAUUGGAAUGAUGCAGAGAAGAUUAGCCUGGCAUGCAAAUUUGUGAAACUUCCGUAGUUUUA